AUCUAAAGCCCAGUUCUUCGUGUAACACUGCAGGCUUUUGAAGAGCCACAGGCCCAAGGACUAGCUAGGGCGUUCCUUGGUUGAGGCAGUUCAAUAGAUGCAGAACAUCCUGCUUCGAGAAGUUGAUUCAGGGAAGGAACCAGUGGGUAACUUGUGUCUUUUUUGACUUGUUAGAAACCACAGGGAUGUAUGCUGCGUGUGCCCAUGGAAAUGGGGCCUGAUGGAACUAGCCAUGCUUUCCCAUUUUGAAAUCUCCAUUCAUGCUUCCUUGAAGCUACCUGAAAUUCACUGCCAUUGACAGUCCUCUAGCCACUGUAGGCAUAGCACUUGGAAAAAAACAGGUUUCCUCUAGCUAAACCGGGUGAUUCCAUGGCUGGGGUGGUGGUCAGCGUGCCAUGCUCUAGAGCUAAUGGGAAACUCAACGUGAGUACUUGUCUCGAGGAAAGCCCCUGAGUAUCCGUGCAGAAAGCAGGCAUGCAGCUGUUUCCAUUAGGCCUUAGUCGCUGUUCUGCUGUAUUUUAAAGGAAGUACCCUUUUCAGGAUUCCUAGGCCCCUCGGGUGUGCAUCAUUUAUUUCCCUCCAGGAUCACUGAGUACCUCCAGACCCCUGUGGGCCUGCUGAGCAACAUCGAGGCCCAUAGGUUGGUCCCUCAGAGGCCCUCUGUGUAUGCCUAGUGAUGGGCAACACACUGCAUGUUCAUUACGGAGGGCUCUCUUUACAGAGCCCUUCAACAGCCUCAGGCCCACGUUUCUGGCCAGUCCGACGUGCCAUGGAAGUCUUCGUCAUGGCCGUCAUUGGAGCUGCCAUGAGAAAAUAUUCUGCUGACAAUUCUUCUUGGACCUCGUACCUGAAGUCACUCUGCUUGAGGAGAAAUUCAGCAUCUUUCCAUGCUGUGUCGCUCAUGGGGCACUCAGCAUGAGCACUUGCCUCACGGUAAGGCCCUGAAUUGCCGUGCAGAAGCGGAGGUGUGCAGCAGUUCCCAUGAGGCCGUAGCCACUGCUCUGCAUUAUCUUAACGGCUGUACGCUUUUCAGGACACCUAGGAGCCUCGCGUGGGCACCCUAUUCCCGGCAGGAACGUUGAGUACCCCCAGGCCCCCCUGGGCCUGCUAAGCAACUGCCAGGCCCGUAGCCCUUCCCAGCCAGUCUGUGUAUGCCGAGUAUAGGGCAACACACUGCCCUCCUUCACGGGACAGCUUGAAAUCCCCAGCACUCCCACAGGUUCACGAACACCCUUGUAGCACAUCCAACAUGCCGGGUAAGUGUGACUCAUUGCCCCAGUCUGAGCUGCACUGAGAAAAACCCUCGGCUUCGCAUUCCAUCUAGGACCUCCUGCCUGAAGUCACCCUGCCUCCAGGAGAAGGUCGGCUUGUGUUUCGACCGCACCUAAAGCCCAGUUCUUCGUGUAACACUGCAGGCUUUAUAAGAGCCACAGGCCCGGAUGUCUAGCUAGGGUGUACCUUGUAUGAGGCAGUUCGCUAGAUGCAGAACACCCUGCUUUGAGGUUUUGAUUCAGGGAAGGAACCACUGGGUAACCUGUUUCUCUUUUGACUUGUUAGUAACCACAGGGAUGUAUGCUGCGUGUGCCCAUGGAAAUGGGGGCCUGUUGCAACUAGCCUUGCUUUCCCAUUUUGAAAGCUCCAUUCAUGCUGCCUUGAAGCGACCUGAAAUUCACUGCUGUUGACAGGCCUCUAGCCACUCUAGGCCUGCUUUUGGGAAGAAAAUGAGUUUCCUCUAUCUAAACCAUGUACUUCCAUGGCCAGGGUGGACCUCUGCCUGCCAUGGGCUAGAGCUAAAUGGAAACUCAAUGUGAGUACUUGCCUUGAGGAAAGGUCCUGAGUAUCCGUACAGAAAGGGAGGCAUGCAGCUGUUUCUAUGAGGUCUUAGUCGCUGUUUUGCUGUAUUUUAUAAGAAAUACGCUUUUCAGGACUGCUAGGCCCCACGGUUGUGCAUCAUUUCCCUCCAGGAGCACUGAGUACCUCCAGACCCCUGUGGGCCUGCUGAGCAACAUCGAGGAACAUAGGUCGGUCCCUCGGAGGCCCUCUGUGUAUGCCGAGUGAUGGGCAACACACUGCACGUUCCAUAAGGAGAGCCACAUUUCCAGAGCCCUCGAAAUGCCUCAGGCCCACGUUUCUGGCCAGUCCGACGUGCCAUGGAAGUCUUCGUCAUGGCCAUCGUCUGAGCUGCCAUGGGAAAACAUUCUGCUUACAAGUCUUCUAGGACCUCGUACCUGAAGUCACUCUGCUUGAGGAGAAAGUCAGCAUCCUACCAUGCUGUGUCACUAACGGGGCACUCAGCAUGAGCACUUGCCUCGAGGUAAGGCCCUGAAUUGCCGUGCAGAAGCGGAGGCGUGCAGCAGUUCCCAUGAGGCCGUAGCCGCUGCUGUGCAUUAUGUUAACGGCUGUACGCUUUUCAGGACACCUAGGAGCCUCACGUCUGCACCCUAUUCCUGGCAAGAACCCUGAAUACCCCCAGGACCCCCCUGGGCCUGCUAAGCAACAUCCAGGCCCGUAGCCCUUUGGAGCCACUCUGUAUAUGCCGAGUGUAGGGCAGCACACUGCACUCUUUCUUGGGACAGCUUGAAAUCCCCAGCAUUCCCAAAGGUUCACGAACACCGUUCUGGCAGGUCCAACAUGCCGUGGAAGUCUGAAUCAUUGCCCUUGUCUGAGCUGCACUGAGAAAAACCCUCGGCAUCACAUUCCAUCUAGAACCUCUUACCUGAAGUCACCCUGCCUCCAGGAGAAAGUCGGCUUCUGUUCCGACUGCAUCGAAAGCCACGUUUUUCGUGUAACACUGCAGGCUUUUGAAGAGCCGCAGGCCCGGAGGCCUACCUAGGGGUUCCUUCAUUGAGGCAGUUCGCUAGACACAGAACACCCUGCUUUGAGGAGUUGAUUCAAGGAAGGUACCACUGGGUAACCUGUGUCUCUUUUGACUUGUUAGAAACCACAGGGAUGUAUGCUGCAUGUGCCCAUGGAAAUGGGGGCCUGAUGGAACUAGCCGUGCUUUCCCAUUUCGAAAGCUCCAUUCAUUCAUGCUGCCUUGAAGCUACCUGAAAUUCACUGCUGUUGACAGGCCUCUAGGCACCGUAGGCAUGGCUGUGGGAGGAGAAUGAGUUUUCUCUAGCUAAACUGGGUGCUUCCUUGGCCGGGGUGGAGCUCAUCGUGCCAUGCUCUAGAUCUAAAGGGAAACUCAACGUGAGUACUUGCCUCAAGGAAAGGUCCUGAAAAGACGUGCCUUUUCACAGGCAGGGAACAUAGGAGAUAUUAGGACUUUGUGUGCAGAAAGGGAGGUAUGCAGCUGUUUCCAUGAGUCCUUAGUCGCUGUUCUGCUUUAUUUUAAAGGAAGUUCCCUUUUCAGCACUCCUGUGUCCCUUGGGUGUGCAUCAUUUCCCUCCAGGAUCACUGAGUACCUCCAGACCCCUGUGGGCCUGCUGAGCAACAUCGAGGAACAUAGGUCAGUCCCUCGGAGGCCCUCUGUGUAUUUCGAGUGAUGGGCAACACACUGCACGUUUCUUAUGAGAGCUACAUUUCCAGAGCCCUCGCACAGCCUUCAGUACCUCAUUUCUGGCUAGUCCGACGUGUCAUGGAAUACUUCGUCACGGCCAUCGUCUGAGCUGCCAUGGGAAAACACUCUGCUUAGAAUUCUUCAAGGAACUCGUACCUGAAGUCACUCUGCUCGAGGAGAAAGUCAGCAUCCUACCAUGCUGUGUCGCUACCGGGACACUCAGCGUGAGCAUCUGCCUCGAGGUAACACCUACUGUAUGCUGUGACCCAUCUCAGCUGUGAGAACACAAGUCACAAGCAUGUGCUGUGUCCUGUGAGCCUCCCAGCCAGUCCCUGAAGGUGAGGGCGGCCCUGCAGACCCCAGCCCUCUCCUCCACGUCUAGUAGGUAGAAGACCCACUUCUCCUUGCCAUUCCAGAAGCGGUUCUGGGGUUGUCCUGGGAGGGCUUCUGCGGUUAUGCAGGCUGAGCCCCUGUUGCUAUGCCGCCACUUCCCCACAAGAUCCUCCAGAGCAAGCUGUUUGCCCUGUUGCCUGAAUGACCUCCCAGAAGUUUUCUCAGGAAAGAAUCAGGGGUUUCUGUAGCAGCAUCUGCAGGCAGCUCUGCAUCUGGACCCACGUUCACAUCUUCUGUGUAAACACCGAGAACCUUCCCUCACAUGUGCCCCCGGGUGACCACCUCCGCAUGCCGAGCACAGGCCCCAGUGUGGGCGUCAGACUGACCGCCCGUCUCAGCCUCCUGUUGUUGUCAGAGCUGCUCCAGGCCCUGCUCAAGCCCCGUGCACCCAGCUUUCACAGGGCUGUCCUCCACCCCCACCUUCAGCAGGAGUUCACCUAAGUAUUUAAGUGAAGGGGUCCAGAGAUAAGAAAGGAAGCUGCAAACAAAGAAACAGAUGGAACCAUCUGGGACCAAGAUGGCAACGAAUGUGACCUCCAACAGACCCCGAAUCUCAUCACGUGUUGAAUUUACUAUAUCAGCAUAUUAAGUGACACACCAACCGGCGGCCAUGGCUGGACGUGAAGGACCAGAAACGGGUAAAAGGAGGUGGUACCCCAGCUCCUUGGAAAAAGCCCCGCCCCUUCCCCAGAAGGCCUCUUCAUCCCAUCACUAGCCUCCCUCCUCCUCCCUUUGUCUUUACUGUUUAAAAUUAAACCUCUCUCUCCAGGAGGGCGAGAAGGUGACCUGUGAA